CAAAAAAAGUUUAUAAAGAAUACUAACUUUGGGAGUUAGAGGUUGACUAGAUAGUCAUUUUUGA
rnacentral:tRNA from 1 species